GAUGAACGCUGGCGGCGUGCCUAAUACAUGCAAGUCGAGCGAAUGGAUUAAGAGCUUACUCUUAUGAAGUUAGCGGCGGACGGGUGAGUAACACGUGGGUAACCUGCCCAUAAGACUGGGAUAACUCCGGGAAACCGGGGCUAAUACCGGAUAACAUUUUGAACCGCAUGGUUCGAAUUUGAAAGGUGGCUUCGGCUGUCACUUAUGGAUGGACCCGCGUCGCAUUAGCUAGUUGGUGAGGUAACGGCUCACCAAGGCAAAGAUGCGUAGCCGACCUGAGAGGGUGAUCGGCCACACUGGGACUGAGACACGGCCCAGACUCCUACGGGAGGCAGCAGUAGGGAAUCUUCCGCAAUGGACGAAAGUCUGACGGAGCAACGCCGCGUGAGUGAUGAAGGCUUUCGGGUCGUAAAACUCUGUUGUUAGGGAAGAACAAGUGCUAGUUGAAUAAGCUGGCACCUUGACGGUACCUAACCAGAAAGCCACGGCUAACUACGUGCCAGCCGCCGCAGUAA
rnacentral:rRNA from 1 species